ensembl:lncRNA
CUUGCUAGUUAUCAGAUUCCUAACCUUCUUUCUUGGGCCAUGUCUGUCUUUGACCUGCUGCGGAUCUAUCGCCAUCUAGCGGAGACCGGGGACGGCUGAGUACAACCAAAAGUAUUGUACAGUAUUUCCCAGGUCUGAAAGAAAGAAGAGAGGAUUGAGAGAUUUCGCAGGGCGGCUGUUGAGCAGAAGAUCAACGAUUUCUGAGUAAAGCAGUUGGAUGAGUGUGACGGCUGCGUGUUCAGUUCAGCUCAGCGUGGCGGUCGUACCUGCGUGUCCGUUGUGGUUCUGCGACGAAGACCCGAGCCGUCGGUCGAGGGAGUCAUUGGCGCCUUCACCGGCGUGCCGUCUCUUCUCCGGCGAAUGGCCUCUGUGACCGUCAUCGCCGUGACACCGCCUUCUGCCGCCCUCGGCUCUCUCCUCCUCGCCGCCGACCCUGCGAGCCUUGCGCUGGCCGUCGGGGGUACGCUCCGCCUCGCUGUCGCUGUCGUGCCUCCUCUUCCUCUUCUUCUUCUUGUGUUUGGAGGACCGGCCCUCCUUGUCAGACUCCUCCUCAGAGUUCC